rnacentral:rRNA from 1 species
UACGAAGGGGGCUAGCGUUGCUCGGAAUCACUGGGCGUAAAGGGUGCGUAGGCGGGUCUUUAAGUCAGGGGUGAAAUCCUGGAGCUCAACUCCAGAACUGCCCUUGAUACUGAGGAUCUUGAGUCCGGGAGAGGUGAGUGGAACUGCGAGUGUAGAGGUGAAAUUCGUAGAUAUUCGCAAGAACACCAGUGGCGAAGGCGGCUCACUGGCCCGGUACUGACGCUGAGGUGCGAAAGCGUGGGGAGCAAACAGG